rnacentral:rRNA from 1 species
CCUACGGGUGGCAGCAGUGAGGGAUAUUGGUCAAUGGCGGGGACCCUGAUCCAGCGACGCCGCGUGAGGGAAGAAGUAUUUCGGUAUGUAAAGCUCUGUCAGCAGGGAAGCAAGAAAUGACGGUACCUGACCAAGAAGCCCCGGCUAACUACGUGCCAACAGCCGCGGUAAUACGUAGGGCGCAAGCGUUCUCCGGAAUUACUGGGGGUAAAGGGAGCGUCGGCGGUUAAGUAAGUCUGGAGUACAAGGCCGGGGCCCAACCCCGGGACUGCUCUGGAAACUAUUGCACUUGAGUGCAGGAGAGGUAAGCGGAAUUCGUAGUGUAGCGGUGAAAUGCGUAGAUAUUAGGAGGAACACCAGUGGCGAAGGCGGCUUACGGGACUGUAACUGACGUUGAGGCUCGAAAGCGUGGGGAGCAAACAGGAUUAGAUACCCCAGUAGUC